UACGAAGGGGGCUAGCGUUGCUCGGAAUCACUGGGCGUAAAGCGCACGUAGGCGGAUUGUUAAGUCAGGGGUGAAAUCCUGGAGCUCAACUCCAGAACUGCCUUUGAUACUGGCGAUCUCGAGUCCGGGAGAGGUGAGUGGAACUGCGAGUGUAGAGGUGAAAUUCGUAGAUAUCAGGAAGAACACCCGUGGCGAAGGCGGCUCUCUGGUCCGUGACUGACGCUGAGGCGCGAAAGCGUGGGGAGCGAACAGG
rnacentral:rRNA from 1 species